CUACGGGUGGCAGCAGUGGGGAAUAUUGCACAAUGGGCGAAAGCCUGAUGCAGCAACGCCGCAUGAACGAUGAAGGCCUUCGGGUUGUAAAGUUCUUUUCUUGGAGAGGAAUCCAUGACGGUAUCCAAGGAAUAAGCCCCGGCUAACUACGUGCCAGCAGCCGCGGUAAUACGUAGGGGGCAAGCGUUAUCCGGAAUCACUGGGCGUAAAGGGAGUGUAGGCGGUCAAGCAAGUCAGGGGUGAAAGGCAUCGGCUCAACCGAUGUAAGCCUUUGAAACUGUUUGACUUGAGUGCAGGAGAGGUAAGUGGAAAUUCCUAGUGUAGCGGUGAAAUGCGUAGAUAUUAGGAGGAACACCAGUGGCGAAGGCGACUUACUGGACUGUAACUGACGCUGAGGCUCGAAAGCGUGGGGAGCGAACAGGAUUAGAUACCCCUGUAGUC
rnacentral:rRNA from 1 species